UACGAAGGGGGCUAGCGUUGUUCGGAAUUACUGGGCGUAAAGGGCGCGUAGGCGGUGUGUCAAGUCAGGCGUGAAAGCCCCGGGCUCAACCUGGGAACCGCGCUUGAGACUGGCACGCUCGAGUUCGGGAGAGGAUGGUGGAAUUCCCAGUGUAGAGGUGAAAUUCGUAGAUAUUGGGAAGAACACCGAUGGCGAAGGCGGCUCACUGGACCGGUACUGACGCUGAAGCGCGAAAGCGUGGGGAGCAAACGGG
rnacentral:rRNA from 1 species